CACCACUCAAGCCCAGCUUGGUGUUGGGGCACCCGGCCGCCCAGCGGUUCGGGGCCCCCAAGUCCAUCGGCGGGCUCGUCGGGACCCUGAGCGCAGUAACACGCGGUAAAACGCGCCCUCGCUCGGAGGCUCCAAGCGGGUUCUUGCCGUUAAACCCCCUAAUUUUCUUA
rnacentral:misc_RNA from 1 species